UGGGGAAUAUUGGACAAUGGGCGCAAGCCUGAUCCAGCCAUGCCGCGUGAGUGAUGAAGGCCCUAGGGUUGUAAAGCUCUUUCACCGGUGAAGAUAAUGACGGUAACCGGAGAAGAAGCCCCGGCUAACUUCGUGCCAGCAGCCGCGGUAAUACGAAGGGGGCUAGCGUUGUUCGGAUUUACUGGGCGUAAAGCGCACGUAGGCGGACUCUUAAGUCAGGGGUGAAAUCCCGGGGCUCAACCCCGGAACUGCCUUUGAUACUGGUAGUCUUGAGUUCGGGAGAGGUGAGUGGAAUUCCGAGUGUAGAGGUGAAAUUCGUAGAUAUUCGGAGGAACAACAGUGGCGAAGGCGGCUGACUGGCUCGAUAAUGACGCUGAGGUGCGUAAGCGUGGGGAGCAAACAGG
rnacentral:rRNA from 1 species